AUUGAACGCUGGCGGCACGCCUAACACAUGCAAGUCGAGCGGCAGCACGAAUAGUAGCAAUACUAUUUGGUGGCGAGCGGCGGACGGGUGAGGAACACGUAGGAACCUGUCGUUUAGAGGGGGAUAACCAAGGGAAACUUUGGCUAAUACCGCGUAAUCUCGGAAGAGUAAAUCUGCCCGCAAGGGUGGCGCUAAAUGAGGGGCCUGCGUCCGAUUAGCUAGUUGGUAGGGUAAAGGCUUACCAAGGCAAUGAUCGGUAACUGGUCUGAGAGGACGACCAGUGACACUGGGACUGGGACACGGCCCAGGCUCCUACGGGAGGCCGCAGUGGGGAAUAUUGGACAAUGGGGGCAACCCUGAUCCAGCGAUGCCGGGUGGGUGAAGAAGGCCUUCGGGUUGUAAAGCCCUUUAGAAUGGGAAGAAGUGUGCAUGACGAAUAAUCAUGCGCGUUGACGGUACCGAUAGAAUAAGCACCGGCAAACUCUGUGCCAGCCGCCGCAGUAA
rnacentral:rRNA from 1 species